GGGGGGGUAAAUUAUAAUGGAUUCCUAAAUUCACAUGCACAUUUGCAAUGACAUGAAGUCUGCUAAAAUUAAUUACAAUAUUUUUAUAUGCUGAAACUGCAUUUAGUUAUUAAAAGAUUUUAUGAGAUGUGAAGUGAUUGAUAACAUUGAUGAUAAGCAAUAAAUUUUAUAAAAAGUUUAUUACAUAUUUCAAAUUUAACUAUGUGGUGAUACUUAUUCCUUUUCAAAAUAUAUUUUAUAAAAAUUUUGAAAGGGGAAAAUGCAUAUCAGUUUGAACUGUACACAUACUUACUAUCAGCAAAAAGAAAUUCGAACAACAAAUUGAAUAUGAAGAAAUAAAAAUGACAUUUCAUUCUUUCUCAAAAAUAAUUUAGGUCUAUAACACCAAUACAUAUUCUUCUAGUGCAUAUUUUUCACUUUAUUCUUAUCUAAUUCUGCCUAAAAACUGCAUGUGUGGUCAUAAUUUGAAAAUUGGGAACUUAGUAUGUAAAUUAUUCAAAAGGAAAAAAAUUAAGAAAAUGAAUUAAUAACUUAACAUGAAUGCAUGAUUUGCGAGCAGUAGAUUUCAUACAGAUCACAAGGCUGAAAACGAUAAGAAGUCUCAUCUCAGAGAUGGCAAAUGCUGUUCUCUUUUUAGAGACAAAAUUAGGAAAUCAUAGAGGGAAUAAAUUGCUAUCAGACAUUUAAAAACAGUGGACAUACAAAAGCAGUGCAGGAACUGGAUUGCCAUCAUCUCGAAAGAAUGGUAAUCACCCAGGAAAGGGAAAUGAUUCCAUCAAUCUCAAUAUCUCAGGUAUCAUUUGGUGUCACUCAGGCCAACAUACAUACCCAUAUGGUUUGGUAAAUUAAUGUUUGAUACAGGUAUCAUUACUAAUACAAUGAUAUGGAUAAUGCACCUUACAUAGGCCAAAGAAAAGCAUUAAACCAUUACCAAAUUGAAAUAAUUAUCAAUGGUUGACUAGCAUGAAGUAGCCUGUCAAAUAAAUUGUAUUUUAAUCUGUUUCCAGAAAACGAAUCUGCAAUCAUGUCUAUGAACCUGUCCUGUCAAUAAGGUAAUUAAUGAUGGCUUGUUGGUCGACAGAGUGACUAUGACUAGAUUCUUCUACAGGGAAUGAUGUGUAGAUCUCAUUGCAAACCAUAAGUACCCUUUUGUGAAUACAAAGGUGAUAAUGGUUUCUACCAGAAGGAUAAUGCAAUAUCACACCGUGCAGGAGAACAUGCAGGAGAGAAGACACCAGUCAUUUUCUAGUCAUGGCUGAGAAGAUUAAAAAAAGUUGCCAGCAUACAGAUGAAAUGCAUAACAGAAGGAUGAAAACAGGAGACCAAAGAUGGCUGUAGAUUCACCAUAUAUUUUUAUUUCUUGAUGAAUAAUUUUUUAGGAUACAUAUUUUCAAUUACACACCAUUUUGGAUGAGAAAAAUACCCUGCAGUUUUAUGCAACUUAUCACAUCUUUAAAACAAUGGGUGACAUAAGAGAAGCAGACAACAUGUGCAAGCAAAGCAACUGCACAUUUCAGCAGCUGUAUUUAUAAAAUUCAUGCCUUUGUUUCAAUUUUGAACAGGGAUUGGACAAGAGCUAACAGCACUGCAGUAAAUAAGAUGAUAUAAUGUAGAUUAAUUUUCAGAUGAUGCAAUUUAGCUUCAUAGUUUUCAGACAGGGAGAAGUAUUGCUGAAAUAAGUAGCUUUCUUUCAUAUUUUAUAUCUCACACACAUAUUCAUAGAUAGAUACAGAUAUACCCUGUGCAAUAUUUGCAUAAAAGAUGUCCAUAAUUUGUACCAAAUUGUAUAUUUUCAAUCUAGCACAAACUCUCUUACAUUAUUCACAAAAUAUUUUACUUAGCCUAGAUUCAACCAAAGCAUUUCUUGAGAAGGCAAUUAUAUGAAGUUACUAAAGUGAAUCUUCAAAUAUAAUGCUAAGAAAUCGAUAUACCCAAAGCAAUAAAAAAUAAAUAUUUUUUAAUCUAUCAAAAGGACAUACAAAAUAAUACUGUAUGUAAACUAAAAUGAAUCUUCAACCUUAAAACUAAAAGUAGAUACACUGUUAAAUUUAGCUUUAUGCAACAUAUAGCAUAUGCCUAUUCAUAUAACAUAAGCUUCUUAUAAGUAAUUCAUAUCUACUUAAAACAAAAAAAGAAAACAUAGAAAAGAUCCAUAUCAAAGAUGAAAUAAUAACAGUGUAAGAUAUAGUGACAAAAAAAAAAAAAAAAAAAAAAAAAAAAAAAAAAAAAAAGGAAGAGGGAGAAAAACAGAUAAAAUCACGUGUUAAUUUCAUAGAUGAAAUGGAAUGUCCAAGAUUCUUUAUUUCUUGUUUUGAACCUAUAUGUGUAAACUAUAUUAAAAAACAGACUGAAUA